rnacentral:rRNA from 1 species
CUUGUGCGAUCAACAUUCAUCACACCUGACGCCGAGGCGAUCCUUAACAUACCUAUUAGGCGUGGGGAUGGAGAUGAUUCAUAUGCUUGGGCCUUUGAGAGAUCAGGCAACUACACUAUUAAAUCGGCGUACCGUGCCUUACUGACUCAGAACGAGCGUCAAGCUCUAGGAGAAGGGACGGCUACCGACACCUAAGGAGAUGAAAAACAGUUGUGGAAUGCUUAGUGGAAGCUCAAAGUUAUCCCAAAAGUUCGCGUGUUCUGGUGGAGAGUACUAAGGAAGAUCCUUCCAGAUGAGUGCACUCUCAAACACCGGCAUAUUGCAGUCGUGGACCGAUGCAAUGUUUGCUUAGCAAAGGAGGAAGACCUCAUGCAUGCUCUCAUUUUAUGCUCCCCUGCACACCGAUUCUAG